AUUGAACGCUGGCGGCAUGCUUUACACAUGCAAGUCGAACGGUAACAGGCCUUCGGGUGCUGACGAGUGGCGAACGGGUGAGUAAUGCAUCGGAACGUGCCCAGAGGUGGGGGAUAACGCAGCGAAAGCUGUGCUAAUACCGCAUGUGAUCUGAGGAUGAAAGCGGGGGACCAGGCAGCAAUGUUUGGCCUCGCGCCUUUGGAGCGGCCGAUGUCAGAUUAGGUAGUUGGUGGGGUAAAGGCCUACCAAGCCGACGAUCUGUAGCUGGUCUGAGAGGACGACCAGCCACACUGGGACUGAGACACGGCCCAGACUCCUACGGGAGGCAGCAGUGGGGAAUUUUGGACAAUGGGCGCAAGCCUGAUCCAGCAAUGCCGCGUGCGGGAAGAAGGCCUUCUGGUUGUAAACCGCUUUUGUACGGAACGAAAAGGCUCUGGCUAAUACCUGGGGCUGAUGACGGUACCGUAAGAAUAAGCACCGGCUAACUACGUG
rnacentral:rRNA from 1 species